UAUUCAGGAAUUGGAAGGACAGGAAAACCAACGUUUUGGAAAUAGAAAUAUCAACUUGGGGGCUUCCUGAGAAUGUCAGAUUGUGGAUUGCAAGAGUCAAAAAGAGAUUUUCCAGUCCAACCUACCCACUGGACAGAUGAGGAAACUGUGGCUGAAGCGAGGAGGAGAGUCUUUGGAGAACGCACCCUUCAUCUCUUCCUUUGAACACUGUGAGAUACUUAUGAUACUUGGAGCUGACAACAUGGAGAAGACCAUCAUAGAGACAGGAACCCAGAGUCCUGACAGCUGCUGA
rnacentral:lncRNA from 1 species